rnacentral:rRNA from 1 species
GACGAACGCUGGCGGCGUGCUUAACACAUGCAAGUCGAACGGACAGGCCCUGCUUUUGUGGGGUGCUCGAGUGGCGAACGGGUGAGUAACACGUGAGUAACCUGCCCUUGACUUUGGGAUAACUUCAGGAAACUGGGGCUAAUACCGGAUAGGAGCUCCUGCUGCAUGGUGGGGGUUGGAAAGUUUCGGCGGUUGGGGAUGGACUCGCGGCGUAUCAGCUUGUUGGUGGGGUAGUGGCUUACCAAGGCUUUGACGGGUAGCCGGCCUGAGAGGGUGACCGGCGACAUUGGGACUGAGAGACGGCACAGGCUCCUACGGGAGGGAGCAGGGGGGAAUAUUGCACAAUGGGCGGAAGGCUGAUGCAGCAAUGCCGCGUGCGGGAUGACUGCCUUCGGGGUGUAAACCGAUUUCGCCUGUGACGAAGCGUGAGUGACGGUAAUGGGUAAAGAAGCACCGGCUAACUACGUG